AUUGAACGCUGGCGGCAGGCUUAACACAUGCAAGUCGAGCGGGGAAGGGUAGCUUGCUACCUGACCUAGCGGCGGACGGGUGAGUAAUGCUUAGGAAUCUGCCUAUUAGUGGGGGACAACAUUCCGAAAGGAAUGCUAAUACCGCAUACGCCCUACGGGGGAAAGCAGGGGAUCUUCGGACCUUGCGCUAAUAGAUGAGCCUAAGUCAGAUUAGCUAGUUGGUGGGGUAAAGGCCUACCAAGGCGACGAUCUGUAGCGGGUCUGAGAGGAUGAUCCGCCACACUGGGACUGAGACACGGCCCAGACUCCUACGGGAGGCAGCAGUGGGGAAUAUUGGACAAUGGGCGGAAGCCUGAUCCAGCCAUGCCGCGUGUGUGAAGAAGGCCUUUUGGUUGUAAAGCACUUUAAGCGAGGAGGAGGCUACCGAGAUUAAUACUCUUGGAUAGUGGACGUUACUCGCAGAAUAAGCACCGGCUAACUCUGUGCCAGCAGCCGCGGUAACAC
rnacentral:rRNA from 1 species